CUGGCUCAGGAUGAACGCUGGCGGCGUGCUUAACACAUGCAAGUCGAGCGGAGAAUAUUAAGUUGAGAGCUUCGGCAGGAUUCUUAAUAAUCUUAGCGGCGGACGGGUGAGUAGCGUGUGGGCAACCUGCCCUGUACUGUGGAAUAAUCACUGGAAACGGUGACUAAUACCGCAUGUCAUCACGAGGAGGCAUCUCUUUGUGAGAAAAGGAUUUAUUCGGUACAGGAUGGGCCCGCAUCUGAUUAGCUAGUUGGUGAGAUAACAGCCCACCAAGGCAACGAUCAGUAGCCGACCUGAGAGGGUGAUCGGCCACAUUGGGACUGAGACACGGCCCAAACUCCUACGGGAGGCAGCAGUGGGGAAUAUUGCACAAUGGGCGAAAGCCUGAUGCAGCAACGCCGCGUGAAGGAUGAAGGGUUUCGGCUACGUAAACUUCUAUCAAUAGGGACGAAAAAAUGACGGUACCUAAAUAAGAAGCCCCGGCUAACUACGUGCCAGCCGCAGC
rnacentral:rRNA from 1 species